rnacentral:miRNA from 1 species
CUGAUCCUCCUUCCACUGAAGUUUAUGAGAGUUUUGUCAUUGACUUCAGUGUGAGCAGGAUUGGGUCC